AAAACGCUUCUGUUGGGAAUCAAUGGGACUCCACAGAUGAAUUUGUUCAUUUGUGUGACUUAAACUGAACUUUUAUUCUGAAACUGAGCCAUUGAACUCAGUUUCCCACAAGCCUCCAGACUUCACACCUGUAUGUGAACUCUGCCCCUGGACCCAGCUUCCUGUUACUAUUGGCCAGUCUGACUUGUGACCGGUGAUGUCACCAGGUCAACAAAAACCCUAGCUCACGCCAUUGUUCUCUCUUGAAAAGUAGGAGAGAAGAGUGCCUGAUUAGUAGGAUUAGACUGGGACACACUAAAUUUAAUUCAUCUUUACACCUCAUUGGGAAGCAUCCAAGCAGAGCAUGUGAUGUCUGCAAUAAAAUGGAGACUGUGGAUCAUAACUGAACUGCCGGCUCAUACAGAAAUGAACAGAAGCAAUUCAUAUCAUUGAAAAGAGAUUUUGUCGGGUUUGAAAACCUGUCUAAUGGAAAUCUCUGCUAAUCCUGCUGCUGGCCUCUGCAGACGACUCCACCACUGUAAGAGAAACUCCCCUGUCCAACGGAGGGGGAGGAGAUUAACAAAAUGAAUAGACAGAAGAAGAGAGAGAUGCAGGUAAAGGACAGUUAGAGGAUGGGAGGAAAGGAUGCACAAGUGGGGGAGGAAGAAGAAAUACUCCUCACACAACGCAGUUUAAGCAGUAGAUCGCAACAUCUUUUUUUAUUUAAAUUUGUGUUUUGCAUCCUGCUGGUACGUCGCUGACUGCCUUCAGUUCACGAUCUGCCUUAUCAUGGAGGCUUUUGUUUUAUUUAAUAAUCAGAAUCAGAAUAAAAAUGCUGCAAGUAAAACUGACCAAUUCUGAAAGAAAUGGCUAUCUAUUUGAAAAGAAUGGUAAAAAUAAAAAACAUGACAGCCAUUUGAUUGCUGUGGUGCACGGGACAUUAGCUGCUGCCGUUAGUACUGUCUUUUCACUUUAAUGCCCAGUAAUAAUCCAAGCUCCCAAUCCAGCCUAGUUAGUUAGCCAGCUAUGUCGUAGCGUAUGCAGCUGUUAAACUAAAUACAAGGAGAGGUUAGUUACCUUGUCUGUCCACUGUGUUGUGUUUAUUCACAGCAGCCUGUAGUUGGUCGAUUCAGAAUUACUUUGACAUUGUUGUUGCUCUAGCUAACUGGCUUUGGUAACAGCCGUUGAGCUUGCUUUCUUAAGAAAGACUGGGAGCAUGCAAUUAGCUGAAAGAUAAGGUGGCAGUAACCGGUGACAUCCAAGAAUGUAUUAAGGAGAACUGGAUACUAGGGCUGAACAAUUAAUUGAAAUAUUAUCGAAAUUGCAAUAUGCAAUAUCCAAGUGCAAUUUCCAAAUCGCAGGAACUGCAAUUUUUUGAUAAAGGUAAAAUGUGUUACAACAUACCUUUUUUUUUUUUUAAAGAUUGUUUUUUGGGCUCUUUGCCUCCACUUGACAGGAACAGCUGAAAAGAGACAGGAAAUGUGGGAGACAGAGAGAGGGGAUGACAAUUCCCAGUAAAAUUGUGACUCAUAUCGCAAUCCCAAUAUCUGUUAAAAUAAUCGCAAUAUGAUUUUUUUUGCAUAUCGUUCAGCACUACUGCAUACCACGUUCAAAGUUGGCACCCCAUUCAUUACUAUGAAAGUUGCUGACGAGGCACAUACACCGAACAAGUCUCAGCGGGCUUGCUCAAGCUUCCGCGAUUUUGGAGGAUGCUCACUAGAGACAUUCUCCAGCCGAGCCGGCUGAAGCCUAUUGGCUUCCCGCACACACAAAUUCCAAAUAUAUAUAUAUGUUAUAUCUAAUUCUGACAGUACAAAGAGUAAUUUCAUAGUAUUUGUGACGCUCAGAAAAAUGUAUUCACCAUUUCACAGCCACUCCUUUUCCAAUGAUUGUGCAUGGGAAAAAUUGUUUAUGGGCCAGUGUGCGUCAAGUAAUGCUGAUGGAAGCUGCAAUACCAUUGUAGGCUCUACGCCAAAAUCGCCUAAACAGCCUAGUGCUGUUCCUGAGGGCUUGGUGACAACACCACUGUUAUGAAAAGUGACAUGAUGUAAAAAGUGACAUUAUGAAUAGUGAAAUUAUGAAAGAAAAACACUAAGAGUCUACAGCCAUGCUAUGUUGCAUCCAUCCAUCCAUCACCAAAGUCAAGUAAGAUUCAUUCACUGGGGAUCAUGAAUGUUUGCACAAACUUUCAUGGCAAUUCAUUCAAUAGUUGUUGAGAUAUUUUAGUCUGGACAAAAGGGGGGGACCGACCCACAGACAGACAGACAUUAACAGAUAUGCCGCUACCAUGGCAAAAAAAUUACAUUAUGAAAUAAAAGAAUCAGAAUCAGGUUUAUUGCCAAGUAAGUUUUCACAUACAAGAACGAGAAAAUAAGAAAAUAAAAAACAAAAGUACUGCAAAAGUCAAGAAACAUAAAGUAGGGCUGAAAUGAUUCCUCGAGUCACUCGAUUACUAAAAAUCAUCAGUUCAAAUAAUUUGUAUCAAAGCUUUGUUUAAUCCAUAUAAUUACACAGAGCGCACUGUGUUUCGCACGGAUGAUUAUUACUGUUACACAACGCGCUUACGCUGUGUAUGAUCAGAGACGGUUCAAAGCAUCUUUGGUGGGAUUUGAGAGCGCGGAUUACAAAAAGAAGGAAGAGAGAGAAAAUAGAGAAGGGAUAAGACAGGACAGAGAAAGCGACAGAAAGUGUCCACGAAAACUCUGUAUAGUGUGUCUAUUGUAAAAGUGAACGAGCCUACCACAAUAGCACGACGUCUAUGCUUCAGCAUCUCAACAGAAAGCAUAACAUUACAGUCUUUGCAUCCAGUCCACAGAGCGGACCCGACACAAGGUAUAUGAAGGCUAGUAAAGAAUGUAGGCUACGUUAAUUAUGGCUAUAUGUAAUGGCUAGUUAACAACGUAAAUCAAUGUGGUGGCUAGUUAUAAUGUCCUUAAGUUAGCUAGGUUUUGUUCAAGAUGUUAACCACAGACAAUAAAAUGCUGCAGUCAAUUUGUGAAAGCCUGAGCUUCAUUUAUGUUAUUUGCUAUUAUGAUAGUUACAGUUCCUGUCCACUCGUUUUUGCCUCCUACAUAUGCCACAAAUAAGACAGUAAAGGCUUACGUUAUGCCUGAGUUGUAGUUAGGCUGAAACUUGUAGUUCUGAAAGGUGUUUGUUUUUGCAUUUCAGAUUUUUAUUUCUUUAGAACCCAGAAUGUAAUAUGGCACUUAAAUGCACUAAAAGGGUUUAGUUUUUACAGAUAAUUUUAUUGUAUGCAAUUUAACCAAUAAAAAUUUUGAUAUUUCUAAAAAGUAAACCAAUUAGUUGUUCAUUUGAAAGAGACCUGUCUUAUUUUCUCUUGUGCAUAUUUACUAUUGCUCCUUAAUAAAGCAAAAGUAUUUCUUAACCGAUUACUUGAUUAAUCGAUGGAAUAAUAAGUAGAAUACUCGAUUUCUAAAAUAAUCGAUAGCUGCAGCCCUAUUAUGAAGUACAAAGAAUAUGUGCAAUGUACAGAGAUAAUAAUCCAAAAGAUGUGCAUUAAUGCAACGUAUUGAUAAGUGGAGACUGUACGUUAAUGUAACGUGUAGUGUGAGUAAGAGUAAGAGUCUGCGUCAGUGAGGGUCCCAGGCCUUGUUGAUGAGACCGGCUGCAGACGGGAAGAAACUGUUCUUGUGGCAUGAUUUUGAUGAUGGUUUUGGUACUGAUGGACAGCAGACUCCUGCCAGACGGGAGUGUCUCAAAAAGUUUGUGUCCGGGGUGGGAGGGGUCAGCCACAAUCUUUCCUGUUUACCUCAGGGUCCUGGAGGCGUACAGGUCCUGGAGGGAAGGUAGAAUGCAGCCAGUCACCUUCUCUGUGGAGCGAAUGAUAUGCUGCCUUCUGCCCUUGCCCUUGGCAGUGGCAGCAGCUUUUUUGGUGAGGGAGCUGAUGUUCAGCUCCCACUUGAGGUCCUGAGUGACAAUGGUGCCCAGGAAGCAGAAGGACUCCACAGUGUCGAUUGGCGAACCACACAGGGUGAUGGAGGUGGGUAGGGCUGGGUUCUCCCUGUAAUCCACAACCAUCUCCACUGUCUUAAGAGCAUUGAGAUCCAAGUUGUUCUGACUGACCUGUAGGCAGACUCGUCCCCAUCAGAGAUGAGCCCAAUGAGGGUGGUGUCAGAGACAUGCUGCACCAGCUUCAUGUGCUGCCUCCUGUCAGACAGGAAGUCUGUGAUCCACCUGCAGGUGGAGUCAGGCACACUCAGCUGGGGAAGCUUGUCCUGCAGCAAAGCAGUAGUAAUAGCUAAAAUCCACAAACAGGAUCCUUGGUUUUUUGGGGAUGGAGAUGAUGGUGGAGGUCUUGAAGCAGGCUGGUACAUGGCAUGUCUCCAGUGAGGUAUUCAAGAUGUCUGUGAACACUGGAGACAGCUGAAAAGCUUCAGGAUUGAUGUAGAGAGUCGUCAUUGUGGUAGGGGAGGAAGGGGCCCUCUGAGGUGGGCAACUGUGGAGAGGCCCAGCCCCUGUUGUGGUGGGGGAGGUGGAGCUGGUGGGCGGGAGCUGGUGGAUGGAGUCAUGGGGGAUGGUGUCAAAAAGUCCAGGGCCAUUUUUAAUUCCCAGAAAAGUGGGAAAUAAAUCUGCUGAAGUUGUUUCCCUGUUAAGCCCCAGGGCCACCAGGGCCACCAGGGCCCCCACUUGUACAAUGUUUUGUCAUAAUAACUAGAAAAUGAAAAUGCAAGGCAGAUUCUGGAGUGCAUCUUUUUUCAUGUAAUUGUGAUGCAUUACAUGAAACUAUGCAAUAGUGACUAUUCAAAUAUAUAAAUACUUAACAUGCAUAAUAAUCAGGCCUCCUGCGCACUAACCAUCUGGAGGAAAGGCAUGUUGGAAGCAUGUGGCCCUUUGUCCUCUCAGAGCUAGAGGAAAAAGAGUCAGAGAUGAGAGCUCGUAUUUGAACUGAACUCAGGAAGCAGCAGGAGCGUCUGCUAACAGUUACACUGCAAUUAGUCAUGCAGCAGGUUAAGUGAGCGCUGAGUGAGAUCAAGUCUGGGGAUUUCUCUGAGCUCUACCCCUGAAGGCAUCGCCUUCCAACUAAAGCUUGCUGCUCAGAGGGAAGAUUCACUAUGAGAGUAUUUGUGUGAGUGUAUACAUGUGGACCCAAUGGGACCCUCUAAGCCUAUGAUUCAUGGGGAACAUUUACAUUCUUUAUGCAUCACAAAACCUAAAGGAUAAACCGCCUAUGGAAUCCAAGAUAGAGAAAAAAUGAGAAAAAAACAGAGCUCUUAGAGACGACAGUUUUGUUUGGAGUAGAAUACUUGACGGGAGAUGGAGAGCAGUGGCGUGGUGUGACUUUUCCACUAGGUGGGGGUACGGCCUUAGAGGUAGCUCUGUGUAUUUUGGCCAUGAGCAUGCAUUAUUUACAACUACUACUAAUAAUAAUAAUAACACACUGCACCCAUAAAAAGAAAAAGAUUAAGUUGUAGCUCACAUUUGUUUAGGCAUUAAGAAUGUCAAAACAAUUAAAAAAUAUUGUAUUUUGUUAAUGAAGUGUGUGUUUAGAUUAUAGACUAUCAGCAUUUGCAGGAAAAAGUGGAAGAAAAGCCCUGUCACUGGAAUAACAUUUAACAUAAUAACAUCUGGACCGCAAAUAGGCUACAUGAAAUCUUUACCACUUAUGGAUAAAAAUUAAUCUGAGCCCUACUGUGUGGUGCACUUAACCUGUCAGGUGUCCCAGUUUGACAGAGAGCAUCAUAGCACAGAGACAGCACUAGUGAAAAUUACAAAUGACAUUCUAAUUGCAUCAGACAAUGGACUUGUCUCUGUACUUGUCUUGUUAGAUCUUAGUGCUGCAUUUGGCACCAUUGACCAUCGCAUCCUAUUACAGAGACUGGAUCAUAUAAUUGGCAUGAAAAUAACCGCACUAAGCUGGUUUAAAUCCUAUCUAUCAGACCAAUUUCAGUUGGUACAUGUUAACGGUGAGUCCUCUGUGCACGCCAAAGUUAGUCACGGAGUUCCACAAGGUUCUGUGCUUGGACCAAUUCUAUUCACCUUGAUAUAUGCUGCCUUUAGGCAAUAUCAUUAGGAAACACUCCAUUAACUUUCAUUGUUAUGCAGAUGAUACCCAAUUAUAUCUAUCAAUCAAGCCAGAUGAAACUGAUGAAAUCAGUUAGCUAAACUUCUAGCAUGCGUUAAGGACAUAAAUGGAUGACCUGCAAUUUUCUCAUGUUAAACUCUGACAAAACUGAAGUUAUUGUACUUGGUCCC